UCAAUUUUUUCCAAAAUGUGAAAUUACUUUGUUUUUGUAGGUUAAUUUUUUUUUUAUUAUUUUUUUUUGUUUGUGGGGUGCUAUUGGUAUUGAUUUUUCAGUUAGAGAUUAAAUUUGUUCACUCGUCUCUAGCAUCUCUCACUCUAACUCCGAUUCAUGGCUCCCAGAAGCAUCUAUAAAUUUAAACUUGUAGUAGUUUUCUCAUCAUAUCAAGCUUGCUACAACAAUUGCUGCUGUCUAUUACAAUGUUGCUACUGCUGCUGCUUGCGGUUUUCCUUUAGCUGCAGUUCUGGUUGUCCCUAAAUCAGUCGUUUUCAUCUCCUAGUCCCUUCAUGAAAGUUGUAGAUCUUGAAAAGUUAUCCAAUAUAGGCUCAAGAAUUUCUAGAUUUGGAAUUGUAUGCUAGGAGUUAUGCCUUCUGGACAUUUUUGUGGCCUGCUGGUUCUUUUGCUGCGGGGAUGUUAUUGUCCACUUGAUGUCUAUGUGAUGUUGUUGACUUGUUGUGUUGAGUUGAGUGGGGUAGGGUAGGGUUGCUAAAAUAAGUACUCUAGCAUUUUCUAUAUGUUUUAUUUUAUUUUCCCUCCUAUUAUGUACAACUUAUUUCCUAAAUUAAUGUGGUUAAUUAAAUUAGAUUAAUGACUAUUUGGAUAAUAAGGACUAAAUUUCCAAAGUGGUAAGGAUCAAUGUAUAGUUCCUAUUCACAUGAAAUAUCUUUAUUGUGGCUUAAAGCUUUGGUGACACUUUUAAUGCAUAUAAAUAUCUUUCUUUGUGCCAUUUGAUGUACAGGUUUGUUUUGGGUGAGUUUGGUUAUGAAGGAUUAUACACUAACAAGUUAUAAUGAUCUUUUGUUUGCCAUUUUUCUAAACUUGUCAAAUCAUAUGUAUCCUUUUAGAUUAGCAAUGGAGUUAGUUCACUAAAGUUGUUUAUUGAUUUCAGUUUUUCAUGUGUUUUCCCCUAUGGUGUAUCGAGGAUUUUUAGCAUGUGGUGUUCAAAGAUAAGCUAUUAGUAGGCCACAAUGAAGAGUGAACAUGAUUAGAUGAGGAUUUGAGCAACGAUGGGGAAAUUUGUUGCUUCUAAUAUUUGAACAAAUUAAAGUUGCUUCUAAAUUUGCACCACUCACUCUGAGUUCAAGGAUGCAUUUAAAAAGUUAUCUUUGACUUAAGUUGAUUCAUAAAUCUUUCUUAUUUUAGCCA